UGGUUCAAGGGUUAGAGCGUUGGACUUUUAAUCAAAAGGUCGCGGGUUCGAGCCCCGC
rnacentral:tRNA from 1 species